rnacentral:lncRNA from 1 species
CUAACAAGGCAAGGAUGGAAGACACCCCUUUUUUUCCCUUUGGGGAAAAACAACCAGGAGAUGCCCUUCACUCAGGUGGCACUUGGUCCCCCCUAGUGGUGCAAUUCAGAAACUCCAGGAGAGAAACCUUUCCACCUACUUUUCUCUCCCCACUCCUCUCUCUCUCUCGAACUUGUUCCUGCUCUAUCUCUUUUAAUUAGAGCUUGAUAGUUAAACAUUGUAGUUGGGUUCAUCCGAGCAAACUCAUACAUGCAUGGAAAUUGAUUUCAGUUCAUGAUCCCCCCUUUUCCCUCUGCUUUUUCUUUCCCUCUUUUCCUUCCAAUCUUCCAUUCCCUCUCCCAUUCUCCUUCCUUUAAAACUGAUAGAAGAAAAUUAGGCUCAACACUCCAUCAUGCAGGUGCUGCCUCCAACUUCCUUAAAAAGACCCCCAAAGCACAAGAAAUAAAACCAAGAAUCAAUUAAUGGGAUGUCAUCAAACUACAAAGCUUCUGCACAGCAAAGGAACCUGAAGAGAGAGCCUACAGAAUGGGAGAAAACCUUGGCCAGCUAUUCGUCCAAGGAGGGAUUAAUAUCCAAAAUAAACAAAGAACCCCAAAACCUUAACAUCAAACAAUCCCCCCAAAACAAAUAACACAAUCAAAAAGUGGGCAAAAGAACUAAGCAGAAACUUCUCAAAAGAAGAAACGCAAUGGCCAACAAAUAUGUGAAAACUAUUCAGCAAUUCUAGCAAAUCAAAACCACAUUAAGGUUUUGUCUCACUUCAGUCAGAAUAGCAAUGAUCAAGAAUGUGAACAAUAAUGCAUGCUGGUAAGGUUGUGGAGAAAAAGGUACACUCUUACAUUGUUGGUGGAACUGCAGACUAGUACAAUCAAGAGUGGAAAUUCAUUAAAAACAACCAACCACCACCAACAAUCUAGGAAUGGAACAAUUGUAUGACCCACUAUCCUACUCCUUGGCCUUUUCCCCAGAGAUCUAAAAUCAGCAUACUACAGUGACACAGCCACAUCAAUGUUUAUAGCAGCACAAUUCACAAUAGCUAAAUUAUGGAUCAACACAGAUGCCCAUCAAUAGAUGAAUGGAUUAGGAAAUACACACACACACUCACACUGGGAUGGGGAUUGGAGGGAGUGAAUCUGGAAAGGGAGAGCAUAGGGCCAGGAAAGAAAGGAGAAAGGUGCUGGGAGGGGAGAGGGGAGCCCAACAGUUGUCAGACCUGCUCAUGAGGACUGGGAGAAGAGAUUGUCAGUUGAGGAUAUUUGACAGAAAUGCUGUGAGAUGUGAGAACCCCCCCCCCCCCUAUACCCCUGAUCCCACCUGUCCUUCUGAUCAAUCACAUUUAAACUCUACUCUUGCUAGAAUUUUGUUUCUGAAGAAGGGAAUAAGAAAAUAGUUCAUAUAAAGGUCCAUGAUUUUUACUAAUAGAAGUCCUGUUUUCUCUUUACCAAAUAUUGAAUAUUCACGUUUUUAAAUGCAGUGUCAGAUUCUUAACCACUCAGGGAACUCACACCUGGGCUGACCCUACUGCUUGGGGCUUUGUGUUUCUAACACUUAAUUUUAAGUGCUGGGAAUUGAAUCCAGGACCCCAUGUGUGCCAGGCAAACGCUCUAUCACUGAACCACAUCCCCAGCCCUAUAUGCAUCUGAGAUGUCCUCCCUGAGAUUGAGGGAUAACAAAUUCUCAAAAUCUUAUAGGGUAAAGGGGUUGUAUUAUUUUGUAUGACAAAACUAAAUGUAAGAGCAAGAGAUUGGGAUAUUGUGGUUUAGCACCAUAUCAGGAAAGCCAGGUAGGGCUUCAAAACAACUAUUCUAGAGUCAGAUUUGCUUCAUAAUUCCACAGGUAUUUUACCUAUAGAGUUGAGGUCCUUAUUCCAGAGGUAAGAAGGUUGGCUAAGAUAAUUGUACACAUUGAUAAAAAGCCCUUCCCCUCUGCCUGUGAGGGUUGUGGGGAAAUGUCACUGUACUUGCCAAAUAAGUAAUGGAUAGUCUGUGUAAGAGAGAUUACUAGGAGGAACACAAUGUGGGACCUGCAGAGAGCUGGAUAGAAUGG